rnacentral:sRNA from 1 species
UCGGAAAUAGGAGCGAGCGGCAGCGCCGGAAAGGAGGCCAAGAGCGCGGGCGGCGAGGCAAGAUGGCGGCAACCAAGAGGAAACGGCGUGGAGGCUUUGCAGUUCAGGCGAAGAAGCCAAAAAGAAACGAAAAAGAUGCGGAGCCGCCAGCUAAGCGGCACGCCACAGCAGAGGAGGUGGAGGAAGAAGAGAGGGACCGGAUCCCAGGCCCCGUUUGCAAGGGAAAGUGGAAAAAUAAGGAACGGAUUCUCAUCUUUUCUUCCAGAGGAAUAAAUUUUAGGACAAGACAUUUAAUGCAGGACUUGAGAAUGUUGAUGCCUCAUUCUAAAGCAGAUACUAAAAUGGAUCGUAAGGAUAAGCUAUUUGUGAUUAACGAGGUUUGUGAAAUGAAGAACUGUAAUAAAUGCAUCUAUUUUGAAGCUAAGAAAAAACAGGAUCUCUAUAUGUGGCUUUCAAAUUCACCUCACGGACCAUCUGCUAAAUUCCUUGUUCAAAAUAUUCAUACCCUCGCUGAACUAAAGAUGACUGGAAACUGUUUGAAAGGUUCUCGGCCCCUUUUGUCUUUUGACCCUGUAAGUUUCUCAUUCAGUGUAUGAGGUCUAAUUUUCUUAUCUGGCAUGGUUGUUUUUAGUAGAUAAAGUUGUGUUAUUCAAUUUAGUUUCACCCCCACCUUGAUUUUAUGGAUUAUCAAUUCUUUCAGGUACAUUUAUAAUGAGGUUAUAGCCAAGUUAUAGAAACAAAUGAGCAAACAAUUUUAAACAAGGCAGUCUACUGUUAAAUAAUAUGCUUACCUUAUUUUUAUAGGCUUUUGAUGAAUUACCACAUUAUGCUUUGUUAAAAGAACUCUUAAUUCAGGUAAAUAUCUUUAAAAUUAGCUAUCCAAAAUAUACAUGAUAUAUCUUGGAAUAAGGAACUAACAUACACUUUUUUAACUAGAUCUUUAGUACACCACGGUAUCAUCCCAAAAGCCAACCAUUUGUGGACCACGUGUUUACUUUCACCAUUUUGGAUAAUAGGAUAUGGUUUCGGAACUUUCAGGUAAGCUUUACUUGAUUUUUAAUUAUACCUUUUUUUUAAUUGAGUUUAUUUAUUUAUGUUUUGAGACAGAGUCUCGCUCUUGUUGCCCAGGCUGGACUGCAGUGGCACAAUCUUGGCUCACUG